AAAUUCCAACCUAAGGUGAACACGUGUCCCCCCAGGCUGACCUUAGCAAUACAACUAUCCUUUCGUGAAAAUCAAAUUGGUCAACACUUACGUUUAAACAAGCACAGUUUCUUAUGUACUCGACGCUGUAAAAGUCUUUCGGUUCACCUCCUGAAGUAAAAUAUGUUGAGUCUAUCCCGAAGUAUAUAUUUGAAUACUUUCCUGGACCAUUGUACUGCAUUCCUAAAACCUGGUACUGCCACUGCUGCUGGGCAAGUUCCAAUAAAGAUUUGUGCGGAGGCCUGGGACGAAUAUAGACGCCAUUAUCUUUUUUUGUCUUUUCUGUAUUUAAAAUUUAAUUUUUCAGUCGUUAACAACACUUGUUUUCAACGGAGAGUAUGGCCAGUGGAACUGAAGGGGCUAAUUUGAAAGGCUGGCAAAUAUAUUUCAAUAACGUGACAGUGAAAGGACGAAGAAAUGUUGCAUUUGCUGUUUGGGGCAGCUAUUUGGCCAUCUGGGGUCUGGUGAAAAUGAGAAGUGGAUCUUCAGUUGAAAAAUCCAAGUAAAGAACCGUUUAAAAGAAUAUGUAACAUAUUCACAUUUGCUCUGAUAUUAAAAACCAGUUUAUUAUAACUUA